rnacentral:rRNA from 1 species
UACGUAGGGUGCAAGCGUUAAUCGGAAUUACUGGGCGUAAAGCGUGCGCAGGCGGUUUUGUAAGUCUGUCGUGAAAUCCCCGGGCUCAACCUGGGAAUUGCGAUGGAGACUGCAAGGCUAGAAUCUGGCAGAGGGGGGUAGAAUUCCACGUGUAGCAGUGAAAUGCGUAGAGAUGUGGAGGAACACCGAUGGCGAAGGCAGCCCCCUGGGUCAAGAUUGACGCUCAUGCACGAAAGCGUGGGGAGCAAACAGGGAUAGAAACCCC